rnacentral:rRNA from 1 species
UACGUAGGGGGCAAGCGUUGUCCGGAAUCACUGGGCGUAAAGGGUGCGUAGGCGGCCGUGCAAGUCUGGCGUGAAAGCCCCGGGCUCAGCCCGGGAAGUGCGCUCGAAACUGCGCGGCUCGAGUGCCGGAGGGGAGAGUGGAAUUCCUGGUGAGCGGUGAAAUGCGUAGAUAUCGAGGAGGAAUGACCGGUGGCGAAAGCGACUGCUCUGGACGGCAACUGACGCUGAGGCACGGAAAGCGUGGGGAGCAAA